rnacentral:rRNA from 1 species
UACGUAGGGAGCAAGCGUUGUCCGGAAUCAUUGGGCGUAAAGCGCGCGUAGGUGGCCUCAUAAGUCCGCUGUGAAAGUCAAAGGCUCAACCUUUGAAAGCCGGUGGAUACUGUGAGGCUAGAGUACGGAAGAGGCGAGUGGAAUUCCUGGUGUAGCGGUGGAAUGCGCAGAUAUCAGGAGGAACACCAAUAGCGAAGGCAGCUUGCUGGGACGGUACUGACGCUGAGGCGCGAAAGCAUGGGGAGCGAACAGG